rnacentral:rRNA from 1 species
CCUACGGGAGGCAGCAGUGGGGAAUAUUGCACAAUGGGGGAAACCCUGAUGCAGCAACGCCGCGUGAAGGAAGAAGGCCUUUGGGUCGUAAACUUCUGUCCUUGGGGAAGAAAAAAAUGACGGUACCCUUGGAGGAAGCCCCGGCUAACUACGUGCCAGCAGCCGCGGUAAUACGUAGGGGGCGAGCGUUAUCCGGAAUUAUUGGGCGUAAAGGGUGCGUAGGUGGUUUUUUAAGCGCAGGGUCUAAUGCACAGGCUUAACUUGUGUCCGCCUUGCGAACUGAAGGACUUGAGUGCAGGAGAGGAAAGCGGAAUUCCUAGUGUAGCGGUGAAAUGCGUAGAUAUUAGGAGGAACACCAGUGGCGAAGGCGGCUUUCUGGACUGUAACUGACACUGAGGCACGAAAGCGUGGGUAGCAAACAGGAUUAGAUACCCCUGUAGUC